ACGGGUGAGUAAUACAUCGGAACGUGCCCUGUAGUGGGGGAUAACUAGUCGAAAGAUUAGCUAAUACCGCAUACGACCUGAGGGUGAAAGUGGGGGACCGCAAGGCCUCAUGCUAUAGGAGCGGCCGAUGUCUGAUUAGCUAGUUGGUGAGGUAAAGGCUCACCAAGGCGACGAUCAGUAGCUGGUCUGAGAGGACGAUCAGCCACACUGGGACUGAGACACGGCCCAGACUCCUACGGGAGGCAGCAGUGGGGAAUUUUGGACAAUGGGCGAAAGCCUGAUCCAGCAAUGCCGCGUGUGUGAAGAAGGCCUUCGGGUUGUAAAGCACUUUUGUCCGGAAAGAAAUGGCUCUGGUUAAUACCUGGGGUCGAUGACGGUACCGGAAGAAUAAGGACCGGCUAACUACGUGCCAGCAGCCGCGGUAAUACGUAGGGUCCAAGCGUUAAUCGGAAUUACUGGGCGUAAAGCGUGCGCAGGCGGUUGUGCAAGACCGAUGUGAAAUCCCCGAGCUUAACUUGGGAAUUGCAUUGGUGACUGCACGGCUAGAGUGUGUCAGAGGGGGGUAGAAUUCCACGUGUAGC
rnacentral:rRNA from 1 species